AAUCAGGUAGGAUUACCCGCUGAACUUAAGCAUAUCAAUAAGCGGAGGAAAAGAAACUAACAAGGAUUCCCCUAGUAACGGCGAGUGAAGCGGGAAGAGCUCAAAUUUGAAAGCUGGCGUCUUCGGCGUCCGCAUUGUAAUCUCGAGAGUUGUUUUCCGUGCUGGACCAUGUACAAGUUCCUUGGAAUAGGACGUCAUAGAGGGUGAGAAUCCCGUACUUGACAUGGCUGCCCAGUGCUUUGUGAUACAACCUCAACGAGUCGAGUUGUUUGGGAAUGCAGCUCAAAAUGGGUGGUAAAUUCCAUCUAAAGCUAAAUAUUGGGGAGAGACCGAUAGCGAACAAGUACCGUGAGGGAAAGAUGAAAAGCACUUUGGAAAGAGAGUUAAACAGUACGUGAAAUUGUCAAAAGGGAAGCGCUUGAAGUUAGUUAUGCUUGCUGGGACUCAGCCUUGCUUUUGCUUGGUGCAUUUCCCAGUAUGCAGGUCAGCAUCGGUUUUGUCUGCUGGAUAAGGGUAAAAGGAACGUGGCACCCUCGGGUGUGUUAUAGCCUUCUACUGGAUACAGCGGACGGGACCGAGGAACGCAGCGCGCCUCACGGCGGACCUUCGGGUACCUUCGCGCUUAGGAUGCUGGCGUAAUAGCUUUAAGCGGCCCGUCUUGAAACACGGACCA
rnacentral:rRNA from 1 species